GUAUCAGAAAGUGAUUUGCCCCAGUUGCACUACAUGAAAGCUGUUAUUAAAGAAAUCUUCAGAUUGCAUCCUCCUGCACCGGUACUCGUUCCACGAGAAUCCAUGGAAGAGAUUACCAUUGGUGGGUACACUAUUCCUGAAAAAACAAGGAUUUUCAUCAACGCUUGGGCAAUAGGCAGGGACCCAGAAUCUUGGCAAAAUCCGGAUCUUUUUGAACCUGAAAGAUUCAUGGGUAGCAAUAUUGAUUACAAGGGGCAAGAUUUUGAGCUAAUACCUUUUGGUACAGGCAGACGAAGCUGUCCAGCUAUUGCAUUUAGUUCUGCAACUGUUGAGCUUGCUUUGGCACAACUCCUUCACAGCUUUGAUUGGAAGCUUCCGACUGGUGUUCAAGUCAAGGAUCUCGAUAUGACAGA
rnacentral:lncRNA from 1 species